GAUGAACGCUGGCGGCGUGCCUAAUACAUGCAAGUCGAGCGAACAGACGAGGAGCUUGCUCCUCUGACGUUAGCGGCGGACGGGUGAGUAACACGUGGAUAACCUACCUAUAAGACUGGGAUAACUUCGGGAAACCGGAGCUAAUACCGGAUAAUAUAUUGAACCGCAUGGUUCAAUAGUGUAAGACGGUUUUGCUGUCACUUAUAGAUGGAUCCGCGCCGCAUUAGCUAGUUGGUAAGGUAACGGCUUACCAAGGCAACGAUGCGUAGCCGACCUGAGAGGGUGAUCAGCCACACUGGAACUGCGACACGGUCCAGACUCCUACGGGAGGCAGCAGUAGGGAAUCUUCCGCAAUGGGCGAAAGCCUGACGGAGCAACGCCGCGUGAGUGAUGAAGGUCUUCGGAUCGUAAAACUCUGUUAUUAGGGAAGAACAAAUGUGUAAGUAACUAUGCACGUCUUGACGGUACCUAAUCAGAAAGCCACGGCUAACUACGUG
rnacentral:rRNA from 1 species